ACGCUGGCGGCGUGCUUAACACAUGCAAGUCGAACGAUGAAGCCUAGCUUGCUAGGUGGAUUAGUGGCGAACGGGUGAGUAAUACGUGAGUAACCUACCUUUAACUCUGGGAUAAGCCUGGGAAACUGGGUCUAAUACCGGAUACGACCAAUCUCCGCAUGGGGUGUUGGUGGAAAGCGUUAUGUAGUGGUUAUAGAUGGGCUCACGGCCUAUCAGCUUGUUGGUGAGGUAACGGCUCACCAAGGCGACGACGGGUAGCCGGCCUGAGAGGGUGACCGGCCACACUGGGACUGAGACACGGCCCAGACUCCUACGGGAGGCAGCAGUGGGGAAUAUUGCACAAUGGGCGCAAGCCUGAUGCAGCGACGCCGCGUGAGGGAUGACGGCCUUCGGGUUGUAAACCUCUGUUAGCAGGGAAGAAGAGAGAUUGACGGUACCUGCAGAGAAAGCGCCGGCUAACUACGUGCCAGCAGCCGCGGUAAUACGUAGGGCGCGAGUGUUGUCCGGAAUUAUUGGGCGUAAAGAGCUUGUAGGCGGUUUGUCGCGUCUGCUGUGAAAGGCCGGAGCUUAACUCCGUGUAUUGCAGUGGGUACGGGCAGACUAGAGUGCAGUAGGGGAGACUGGAAUUCCUGGUGUAGCGGUGGAAUGCGCAGAUAUCAGGAGGGACACCGAUGGCGAAGGCAGGUCUCUGGGCUGUAACUGACGCUGAGAAGCGAAAGCAUGGGGAGCGAACAGGAUUAGAUACCCUGGUAGUCCAUGCCGUAAACGUUGGGCACUAGGUGUGGGGGACAUUCCACGUUUUCCGCGCCGUAGCUAACGCAUUAAGUGCCCCGCCUGGGGAGUACGGCCGCAAGGCUAAAACUCAAAGAAAUUGACGGGGGCCCGCACAAGCGGCGGAGCAUGCGGAUUAAUUCGAUGCA
rnacentral:rRNA from 1 species